CGCAUGUUUCAGUGAGCAGGACCUCUCGAUGUGAUUACUCUCUUUCUUUUGGGAGAAAAUCAUAUUUACUUUCCAUCAGAUAGCGUGUACUCGGCGAAGCAAGUGCAAUUUUUGAGGAAUAAGAGCAACACAUUGCUGCAGUGUCUACUCUGAGGAUAAUGAUCAAACCAGGCGUCAAACCAACCUUGGGGACCAUUCUGGUAAAAAACCAGAGAAAGGAUUCUGUUUUAAUCUCAGAACAAAGAGUGGAGAAUAAAGAUGCUGGGAUAAGGUUGUCCUUUUCCUCUCCCUUUUACCCUUUGUCGAGCAUUUUUCUUUCUUUUCUAUCUCUGCUUCAAAAGCUUUAAAGGUUGUGAAUCCAUUUUUAGGUUGCUUGAGCUCAUAGAGCUGUGGCAGUAAUGGGGUUUUAGUUUGAAAACGCUGUGUCAAAUCUCUAUAUAUUUGCAGGAACUAGAUCCUUGGUGCCUCGUAGUGCAAUAGUUAGUGGUUUCACUGUAUAAGAUAUUUAUUUGUAUUUUACGAUUUAAAAAAUAACCGUACUGGUGAUAAGCAACCAGAAGUUCACUUC